CCUACGGGAGGCAGCAGUAGGGAAUAUUGGGCAAUGGACGAAAGUCUGACCCAGCCACGCCGCGUGCAGGAAGACGGCCCUCUGGGUUGUAAACUGCUUUUAACUGGGAAGAAAGAAGCCCAUGCGUGGGAAGUUGACGGUACCAGUUGAAUAAGCCACGGCUAACUACGUGCCAGCAGCCGCGGUAAUACGUAGGUGGCAAGCGUUAUCCGGAUUUAUUGGGUUUAAAGGGUGCGUAGGCGGUUCUAUAAGUCAGUGGUUAAAGGUAGCAGCUUAACUGUUUUACAUGCCACUGAUACUGCAGAACUUGAGUUGACAGAAGGCAGAUAGAAUUUCUGGUGUAGCGGUGAAAUGCUUAGAUACCAGAAGGAAUACCGAUUGCGAAGGCAGUCUGCUGCAGUCACACUGACGCUGAGGCACGAAAGUGCGGGGAUCAAACAGGAUUAGAUACCCUGGUAGUCCGCACAGUAAACGAUANAUACUANAUGUGUCNUNCAGUGUCACGGAACGAGAGUAAUACACCGNGGAGUACGUCGGUCGACGUUAGAACGUACGAAGUUAGAGUUAGAGGCGNGAGAGNGCGACGGACGACGACGAGGGAGGAGG
rnacentral:rRNA from 1 species